rnacentral:rRNA from 1 species
CCUACGGGUGGCAGCAGUGAGGAAUAUUGGUCAAUGGGCGAGAGCCUGAACCAGCCAAGUAGCGUGAAGGAUGACUGCCCUAUGGUUUGUAAACUUCUUUUAUAAGGGAAUAAAGUGAGGCACGUGUGCCUUUUUGUAUGUACUUUAUGAAUAAGCAUCGGCUAACUCCGUGCCAGCAGCCGCGGUAAUACGGAGGAUGCGAGCGUUAUCCGGAUUUAUUGGGUUUAAAGGGUGCGUAGAUGGGUUGUUAAGUCAGUUGUGAAAGUUUGCGGCUCAACCGUAAAAUUGCAAUUGAUACUGGUAGACUUGAGUACAGUUGAGGUAGGCGGAAUUCGUGGUGUAGCGGUGAAAUGCUUAGAUAUCACGAAGAACUCCGAUUGCGAAGGCAGCUUACUAAACUGUAACUGACAUUGAGGCUCGAAAGUGUGGGUAUCAAACAGGAUUAGAUACCCUAGUAGUC